rnacentral:lncRNA from 1 species
CAGUUAGGUUUUGCUAUUGUGUACAUCGGGGUGGCCCAGUGUACAGCCCCCUCACAAUGGAGGAGCCCAUACUUAAUAAAAAAUCACCCCCAAAUUGGAGGGGGCUAUAUGCCGGGGUGUCACGUAGCAAAACCCAUUUCAGUUUCUUAAUGAAACAAAAUGCAAUAAUAGAGUACAAUGCUCUAUGAUUUUAGUUUUCUAACAGUACUGCCAAAUCUGUGAUGUACAAUCCACUUACUUAACAAACAAUAUUAUUAAGAUUUAUGCGUUAUUCCAAUAACUCAUAUAUAACUUACCAUUACAACGGAGCAAAGCGAAAAGAUUUCAUUAUAAUUAUAUAUAUGAACUCCUUUGGCAUUACUAAUUAUCAAUAAGCUCUCGCACACUUCGAGGCAUAGGUGCAGCCAUGUCGGUGAAGACAAGUGACCUGGCAAUGAUUACAAUUGUAGUAAUUUGAACAUUUGUUGCAUGGAAUGAGAUUACUGUAGUGCAAGAUAUGUGGUUUCUUGCGGGUGGAUUCAGGCCCCAACUUCAUCUCCUCAUCAACGUCAACGAAAUGCCCACUAUUUUUAGACUCGAGGUCAACAGAAUUUGUAUUGUCAUGUCCUGAUGAUGGUUGUAUCAACAUAACCAAGCAUAGGAGAAAAAGAAAAAGUAACACCAGACGUGAAAUCAUUUUGUGAGAGUCAAUAGUGACAUACACAACAAAGAUAAAAAAGAAGGAACUUUGAU